UUAACAGCCCUGGAUGCUAACAUUCUCUUUAUCCACAGGACAGGUUCAGCACAGGCAUCAGUGCUGCAAAAUUUUGCAUGCUGCCCACCCACUGUGCCUCAGUCUGGUCUGGAGCCACCAUUUCUAGUGGAAGGACCAGACAUUUUCAACCUCCAAAUUAUUCAGUCUUUGGCCUUU
rnacentral:sRNA from 1 species